GAACACAGGAUGUUCUAGAGUUCUGACAGCAGGAUUGGCAAGGGGGCAUGGCGGUACACGGAGGGGGUUGCAGGAGCAUGGCUGUGAUGCUGCACUUGCACAUGGGGCCUGGACUUACUCCCACGGAGACGCUGAUUGUGUGCCAGCAAGGGAAGUGAGAGAGAACAGGAAAGAGAGACAGAGACAGCACUCCCAACUGCAUAUGGACCCCACAACCCACUCGAGUCUUCAGCUAGUCCUGGAUCCCCGGCAAGCAUGUGCCCUGUGCUCAAGGAGUUCCAGACAGCGACCCUCCCACACAUUUCUUGACACCGUGUUUGGCAGACAGUACCGAGGAGAAUGCAGCCAGUUCCAGCAGCUUUGCCACAGCUCCAAAAGCCAAGGGGGACACAGGUAAUAAAAAGUAA